UUAAAUGAAACCAAAAAGAGGUUUAUUACUGUUAAUAAUAAUAAGAAAAAAAAAUCCAAUAAAA
rnacentral:tRNA from 1 species